AUGUCUUUUGUUGCCAACCUAAACCUAACUGGUCCUAUCCCUAGCAAUAAAAGUUUUAGUCUCCCGAUGCUGGAAGUAAUUGCCAUCGCUGAAAACUAUUUCACAGGUCAGAUUCCAUUAGGGUUUGUAUCUUGUCGGUACCUCCAAAUUAUUUCACUAGACACUAAUUCAUUUGGGGGUGUUGUGCCAACAUGGCUAGGCAAGCUGACUAAUCUCAUAUUCCUUUCCUUGAGUCAAAAUGGCCUUGUCGGCACAAUCCCUGUUGUACUUGGCAACCUCACUUUGCUAAUGUCCCUAGACCUCGGUAAAUGCAAUCUAACCGGAGGCAUUCCAGUAGAAUUUGGACAGCUAGGUCAACUCUCGGGUUUGAGUCUACAUGAUAAUCAACUAACGGGAUCUAUUCCAGCUUCUCUCGGUAACCUAUCGAAAUUAGCAUACCUGGGAUUAGCAUUUAAUAUGUUGGUUGGAUCGGUACCUUCAACAAUUGGAAACAUGCACUCUUUGGUGCAUAUCGAUAUUGCACAAAACAGCCUACAAGGAGAUCUCAACUUCUUGUCCAUGUUCACUAAUUUUAGAAGGCUCCAAUAUCUUAGCAUCGCAUCAAAUAAUUUCACUAGUUGUAACCUCCCUAAAUAUGUAGGAAAUUUAUCAGGCCAGCCGCAAUAUUUCAAUGCAUCGGGAAUAAACUUAGUCGGUGAAAUUCCACCUACGAUUUCAAAUUUAACCAGUCUCAUUGUGCUAGAUCUUUCAGAAAACCAACUACAUAGUGUAAUUCCACAAUCCAUCAUGAAAAUGGAGAAUCUACAAGAGCUUGACCUUUAUGAAAAUAACUUGCUAGGCACCAUCCCAUCUCCGAUUACAUUGCUAAAAAAUCUAGAAUUUUUGUUCCUCAAUGAUAAUGAAUUCACUGGUUGCAUACCAGAUGGCAUUGGUAACCUCAGCAAGUUGGUAUACCUGGAAUUAGCCGAUAACCGGUUAUCAUCCACAAUACCGCCAAGUUUAUUUCAUCUUUUUAGUCUUCUCCAGCUUGAUCUUUCUCAAAACCUUUUCAACGGCACAUUACCGCUUGAUAUAGGAUAUCUGAAACAAAUUAACUUCAUGGAUAUCUCUACCAAUCGUUUGGUUGGUAGCCUCCCGGAUUCAAUUGGACAACUCCAAAUGAUAGCCUACCUGAACCUAUCACACAAUUCUUCUAAUAAUUUGAUUCAUCGUUCUUUUGACAAGCUAGAAAGCAUGGAAACUUUGGACCUAUCCCAUAAUGAUCUAUCUGGUACCAUCCCAGAGUACCUUACCAAUUUUACCUACCUAACUAGUUUGAACCUCUCUUUCAAUAAGCUACAAGGCCGCAUACCAGAAGGAGGUGUCUUCUCAAACAUCAGUCUACAAUCCUUGAUGGGGAACUCGGGCCUAUGUGGUGCUUCAGCUUUAGGAUUUUCACAGUGUCCAAGUAACACUACCCAAAGAACAAAAGACCACAUGUUGAAAAUUUUGCUCCCUACUAUCAUCGUAGUAACUGGAGUUGUAUCUUCAUGCAUAUAUGUAAUAAUCCGAAAGAAAAUCAAGAAGCAACAAGGGAUGGCAGUUUCUACAGGUAUGGUUGACAUGAUCGGCCAUCAGUUGGUUUCCUACCAUGACCUCGUUCAUGCCACUGAAAAUUUUAGCGACAGCAACUUGUUGGGAUCUGGAAGCAUUGGAAAAGAUUUUAAGGGCCAACUAAGCAAUGGUGUGGUGGUUGCAGUAAAAGUUCUUGACAUGCAUUUGGAACAAGCCAUUAGAAGCUUCGAUGCCGAGCAUGGUGUGCUACGCAUGGCGCGGCACCGCAAUCUGGUAAGGAUCCUCAACACCUGCUCGAACCUUGAUUUCAGAGCACUGGUGCUGCCAUACAUGUGCAAUGGUAGCUUAGAGACGCUCCUUCACUCCUCUGGAGCCACAAGGAACUUGGGGUUCUAG
rnacentral:rRNA from 1 species